CCAUUGGUGGUGCAGUGGUAGAAUUCUCACCUUCCACGUGGGAGACCUGGGUUCAAUUCCUGGCCAAUGUA
rnacentral:tRNA from 1 species